rnacentral:rRNA from 1 species
UACGUAGGGUGCAGGCGUUAAUCGGAAUUACUGGGCGUAAAGCGUGCGCAGGCGGUUUUGUAAGCCAGAUGUGAAAUCCCCGGGCUUAACCUGGGAAUGGCAUUUGGGGACUGCAAGGCUUGAGUGCGGCAGAGGAGACUGGAAUUCCUGGUGUAGCAGUGAAAUGCGUAGAUAUCAGGAGGAAUACCGAUGGCGAAGGCAGGUCUCUGGGCUGACACUGACGCUCAUGCACGAAAGCGUGGGGAGCAAACAGG